AAUGAGUAGCUUUCUCCACAGACCAGUGUGUGCGCAACGGUGCAUCUACAAUAGAAAAAAUGCGAAGAUAUAAUUAGUGACCAGCAUAAAGUGAGAACAUGUGGAGGUAGAACAUUAUUUACCAUUGUAGUUUCGAAACUAUAAACUAGUCUAAAUGAGGAGACUAUGUGAACAUGCUACAAUAGUAUUAUUAAGCUGAAACCAUGAAACUUACUCAGGUUGUUGGUCCCUAGAUGCUCAGGUGCCUACAUGAAUAAUUCACAGUCAUUCUGGUUAACAUAUGACCUUGCCUGAUUACAAACAGUGUGUCCAUCAGAUUCACAAGUUGUCUAUUACAUAUUCAGAAAUCAGAACUACCACGCUAGAACCAAUUCAGAUGAAGUAAAAUCAAAUUACUGUAAAUUCUCCAUCCGUCAACCAACAUAUGCAUUUGUCUAUUACUGAUCUAGUGAACAGAUUGGAUCUUGUUACUAUGGCAGAUGUAACAUGAUUAAAAAAAUAUAAGCAAAAGAGUUGUUCAUCAGUAUAAAAUCAGCAGUAAAAGUAUCCGAUCAGUAAAUUAGAGAUCAAAAUGUAUAUUAAUCAGCAGGAGCCUUGCCCCAUCUGUUCUCCCUCC
rnacentral:lncRNA from 1 species